rnacentral:rRNA from 1 species
CCUACGGGAGGCAUCAGUGAGGAAUAUUGGUCAAUGGACGAGAGUCUGAACCAGCCAAGUAGCGUGAAGGAUGACUGCCAUAUGGGUUGUAAACUUCUUUUAUAAAGGAAUAAAACGAGGCACGUGUGCCUUUUUGCAUGUACUUUAUGAAUAAGGAUCGGCUAACUCCGUGCCAGCAGCCGCGGUAAUACGGAGGAUCCGAGCGUUAUCCGGAUUUAUUGGGUUUAAAGGGAGCGUAGAUGGGUUGUUAAGUCAGUUGUGAAAGUUUGCGGCUCAACCGUAAAAUUGCAAGUGAUACUGGCAGUCGUGAGUACAGUUGAGGUAGGCGGAAUUCGUGGUGUAGCGGUGAAAUGCUUAGAUAUCACGAAGAACCCCGAUUGCGAAGGCAGCUUACUAAACUGUGACUGACAUUGAUGCUCGAAAGUGUGGGUAUCAAACAGGAUUAGAUACCCUGUAGUC